AUUGAACGCUGGCGGCAGGCCUAACACAUGCAAGUCGAGCGCGCGGCGGACGGGUGAGUAAUGUCUGGGAAACUGCCUGAUGUAGGGGGAUAACUACUGGAAACGGUAGCUAAUACCGCAUACCAUCAGAUUUGCCCACAUGUGAUUAGCUAGUAGGUGGGGUAAUGGCUCACCUAGGCGACGAUCCCUAGCUGGGCUGAGAGGAUGACCAGCCAAACGGGAACUGAGACACGGGCCAGACUCCGACGGGAGGCAGCAGUGGGGAAUAUUGCACAAGGGGCGCAAGCCUGAUGCAGCCAUGCCGCGUGUAUGAAGAAGGCCUUCGGGUUGUAAAGUACUGUCAGCGAGGAGGCGUUACUCGCAGAAGAAGCACCGGCUAACGCCGUGCCAGCAGCCGCGGUAAUAC
rnacentral:rRNA from 1 species